rnacentral:misc_RNA from 1 species
GAUGCGAAAGCCUCUCCUGAGCACUUGCCAUCUGACGCCACGACUGUAAAUGCCGUGGCGGCCACACACACACACACAAACACACACAUCCACAUAAUACGGCUGUGGUUUCCGUCACCGCCGCGCCUUCUCCCCGUUUGCUGUAAGUGUCUCUCUCCCUCUCCUCUCAUUUUCUUUGUUGAACGACUCCGCCAUGAACGUUGAGGUGGUGCACUCCAUUGUGUGCAGCUGGGGCGACAGCGACGUGCUUCGGAGCCGCUGAUGCUAUGCGUUUGUGGAGGAGGGCGGGAUUAGGGGGCAGAGACAGCGGUGCGGGAAGCCCCAGCUUCGCCGCCCAAUCCCUCACUCUCCUUUCACAUCGACGCUUUCUCCCCGUGUCUGAAGCUACGAGUCGUGCAUGCGGGCGUCGUGACACUGAGAAUGGUGACCAAUGCAAGAGUUCUGGAGAUCCAAUACGUCGGCUAUGACACUUCAGAUCCACUGGUCACUCAGGAAGCGUAGCUUUCGAACCCCGUAACGAAUCUCCGCGUCCGUUUCCUGUGCCAUGGUGGUGGCAGGGCGCUGUUGCAACCACAGCGCCCGUACCGUCUAAAGCUGCUUGCACGGACGCCCAAGGCAAGCGCUACCGCAGCGCCAGCUCACGUAGCCCUUUGCUCCCCUCCGCCCUCGUCUUCCUACGAACUCGGUGCAAAAGGGCCAUCUGAGAUCUGUGGCCGCCAAGUGGCGGUGCAUCCCCCGAACCCUGCAAUUCCCCCCCCUCCCCCCCCCCCGACGCACUCCUCAUCGAAGUUUCCUACGCGCUCCAACAACAGCCCCUCGUGGCGGAGAGCCGCGUAGGCACUACUGUCAACGACUAUGUACAGUGCCCCACGAAUCUCGAAGGGCUUGUCCGCCGCUCAAAGACUUCUUCUCACGGCUCCCACAAGGCGGAGGUCGUUGAUCGGUGUACACAGACUUCUUCAGUUGCUGUGCACACCGACAGCAGCUGACGCUCUACCGUGUUUCGCUCUACGGCACUCUCCUCUGCUCACUCGUACACAUGCGCCGGGUUGCACUGGUACUGUGUGUGUCUGACUGCUCCCUUUUCCUCCCCCACAGACGCCAUUAAGGAAGAAGAAAGCAAAACAACCUCUCCCGCGACCUCAGUCCUCACAUCACAUUCUCGGUGAGUGAGUGCGCUUCACCGUCCAGCAGCAACCUUCCUUUUUCUUUCUCUCGCCUCCAACGCUGCGACCCUCGAUGCC